ensembl:lncRNA
CAAAAUGCCAAUUCUCUUUAACUUUGUAUUCCUACUAACAGCCUUUCUAAGUUGAAAAGGAAGAUUCUUGGCAUCCAACACAAACCCGAAGAACAGAACUUGUGAAGGGCAGAACCCAGAGAAGCCCUGAGGAUCUCGGUGGCAGGAACUGAUGACUUCUAAAACAGAUCGAUCAGAUCCAACAGUUCUUUGCACUUGCAUCACUUUUCUCAAAGUCCUAAGAGGAGAAAUCUAACUGGUCUAGUCUGAACUUUGUGCCUUCUCCAAUUUUCUGUAGAAAGACUUGAUCAACAAUUUCAUCACGUCUCCUCAAGUGGAAAAGAUAUAAUUUCUCUAAAGUGGGCCAGAGUUUUUGUAGUGGAAGAAAGGAUGAGAACACUGCAAGGUUGACUGUGUCUCGUUGUCAGCACUGUUCUGAGCAUCAGGAGAGAAAAGCAUGGGCUAAGAGUCAGAAGACAGAGCCUUGGGGCACAUGCGAUGACCUAAAAGCUGACUCUGGACAAGGUCACUUUGGACUUCCCUGAGCCUCAGCCUUGUCCCAGUGCUGUUCUGAGUAACAGUGAAAGCAUACUCAGAAACACUCUUUAUACUGUAGUAUAAAGAGUAGUAUUUCCUUGCAGAGAAAUGGUACUAUGUCAUGUAUGUUUCCUUCUUUAGAGUUUUUGAAACAUGUCAA